rnacentral:rRNA from 1 species
AGCCUUUAGAAUAAAUUAAAGGUCAAACCUGCCCAGUGAUAUUAUUAAAUGGCCGCGGUACUCUGACCGUGCUAAGGUAGCAUAAUCACUUGGCCUUUAAAUGGGGUCUGGAAUGAAAGGAAUCACGGGGCAAAGCUGUCUCAUUUUUUAAUAAAUUAACUUACUAAUUAGGUGAAAAGGCCUAAAAAUGAAAAAAGACGAGAAGACCCUUGGAGUUAAAAUUUAAUUGGGGCGAUUAGGGAAAAACAUCCCUGCAUUUAUAUGACGGAAUCAUGUACAGAUAAACUACCCAAGGGAUAACAGCAUAAUUUUUUCAAGUUUGUGACCUCGAUGUUGGACUAGGAAUUUUUUAGGUUAGCCGCCUAAAAAAAGGAUUCUGUUCGAAUUUUUUACUCCU